UCUCUCUCUCUCUUAACCUGCUCCUUCUUAUUAAAGCCAACCUCUUUUGGUGGUUGUUCAUUUCUCUUUCCCUGGUCACUUUCAGGCUUUUGAUUAAUUAAUCCAUUCAUUCAUCAUCCACGAUGGUACACAUGAGUCCAGAAAUGAAAUCCCGUGUCAGCAGUGUGCUGUGGGUAGCUAAGACAAUUUUCCACGUAGGAUUUAUUCCUUCUGUGCUUUACUUAGGUUUCAAGAAAGGUGCCGAUGAAGGAAUGCCAGAAUUAACAAUGAUGAGUUUAUUGUGGCAGUGAGAUGAAAUAAAAACACCACAAAUCAUGGUUAGCCGAGAUGAAGGAUUGUACAUAUUUGUGAAGAGAAGAUCUUUACCUCCUGUUCCAGAAACUUGUUAAACAUGGCAAAAUGGUUUUCAAAAUAAAUCUUUAACUUCCAA